UUUAACAUUGUCAAUUAUACAAUAUAGGAAAAGGUCAACCUUUGACUCCUGAACAAUAUGAAAAAAUUGAGGAAUUUGCUAAGGUCCAGAACAUUCCAAGAGAAAACAUUCAAGAUAUUCUGGCUACAGAUAAUUGUCCUAAAUAAUGACCUUCUUUAGAUGACAACAGGAUGAGAAUUAUGCAUCAUAUUCUCUUGGGCAUGAAGUCAGUAUUACAUAUAAAUCAUCAUUUCUUUUUAAAUGAAUUUUCCCCUCACCUGUGAAGUCUGGAU